AGUGAAACUCGGAGAGACCGGCGGGGCCAAGUACGACGGAAUCACAGGAUCGAACGCAGCCACGCGAGCAUCGUUAAAUAAGGAAGUUCAUUGACGAGACGGUUAACGACGUAUUAUAGCGGCUGUAACAGACGGUAGAGCGCACUUUCGUGCACGACACAAGGCCCGAGGGCUGCAACACCGUGACACACGCUAUGGGAAAAAAGAGUUGCAACAUCCUGAGAAUCGAGCGAGUUGCGCUUUUUACGAGCUGACUACCAACGUGUAUCGGUCAGUUUGCUACGCACUUCGACUACGUUCGACCAUGUCCUGCCUGACGAAACACAGCGUUUCGUGUCAAAUUAUCUUCCCAGUUCCACGUUUGUCCGCAUCUAUCGGCCACGAUCUUGACGAACGAAGUCGACCAGAGUUUCUUCCGCCAGGAACAAUGGUCUUCGUGUAUUUGUCACGAGUCCUUCUGGCAUUCGUAAGAAUAACAGAGUGGAAGAUUUCUGGGACCAUUUAACCGAUUCAGAACGACUAGAAAAAACACACACGGAAAGAAGCUUCAAGGCUUUGCCAACACCCCUUGGGGUAUGGGUCAAUCCUGGUACACAGCCGAGAGUUUUGUCCAACUAUUCCAAGUGGCGCAACUUCAUUUGCGUCCGGACCACAUUUUCCGGAAACGCUAUACGCGGUGACUGCUAAGUUUCCUCAAGUAUUUCCACAGAAGGUUACAUAACGUCUCGACGUGCCCUGUCUCUAUGCGGCUGUAAUACACGAAGGCGAGAAGGUAUUCCACUUGCAAAUUUUGUAGGAAAAUUUAACGAUAUGCCAUCAAGGACGAAGGCAUUUUCCUGUUGUUUUGCUACUGAAAGCGGCCAACGAGCCGAUAAUUGUGGUAUCGGAGAUUUAAUUGAACAAGCGGGAAUUGCAGAGUUUGAGGGAAAACGGUGAACAGUGGGGAAAUUAAUCGUUCGGAAAUGUGAACGUUCGAGCGUCCAAUUUUUAUACAUUCGAGAAUUGAUAUUUUUAUGAAAUUAACGUUUGAAGAAGGAUCGAAGCUGUCGAUAUUUAAUUAUCCCCUGAAUAUCGUUCUUCGAUUAUUUGCAACGAUGCGGUAAAAAAUGUCAUCCGUAUCGAUGAGGAAAACAUUUAAAAAAUGCUUCCUCUCUAUAUUGAAUUUAAAGUAUUGUCAAGUAUAGAACUAUAUGCACAAUAUUCGUACGGAAUAUUUUAGUAACGCGUAUCAUUCGUUAUCCAUUCGACAGAGAUAAAUAUUGAUUAAUAAUUGCUCGUAUGGCAUUGGUAAACGUCUGAAAAAUUGUGCGCAACGAUAAAGCGAACACCCCGUGCAUUUUUUUUAUUUGCCAUUAUUUAUACUUUCUAUAUAGACGUAGAACAAUCGAAGAGGAAAAAUCGUGCGAAAAAACGAUUUCAAUUAUAAUCGAGUAAGCACAUUCUGCCAGCUAAUUAAAGUUAGUAGCUGUAAUUGCGCAGCGCUCUGUAUAUAUUAUUAUACCCCGCCAUUAUCUAGUAUUUGUAUGAGAAUAAUUAGCGGAAUGAUUGUGGUUAACGACUAAUUAACGAAGUUAGUAUACGGGCAAUCUUAAUGUACACCAUUGUAGCACGCCUUCAAAUGGUUCAUUUUCAACGUUAACGUUAAGUUAGUAAAUGGCGAACUGCAAUUUUCCUUUUAUAUAGCUUGAUUCGUUUUAAUUCGUUCCACUAUUCCAUGUAACUGUUCUUGGAUAAUGAACGACGCAAUCGAUCUGUCAUUUAAAUUUAAGCGCAUGUCGAUGAAGAAUACGUUACGCAAGAUGAUGUCACGACGUUGACUCACAGGUUGAUUUAAUUUAAUGGGAAAAGAAGCGUAACGUAGGUUAGUGUCAAACGAACAAGACGAAUAAAAAAUAUCUGGAAAGAGGUUACACAACGUACGUAAUAGAAAUAACACUUAAAUAUUCUUUUCUUUAGUCAGACUAUUAUAGAUUAGGUUACGUAAAAUGUUCCUUAACCUACGCUUACAUGACAAAUAGAUUUUCGUCGGUAUCGAUCGUCGAUAGACGAUAAUUCUAGAUUCAAUUUGUUGGUAAUUACACAGAAGUAAUUAACUGUUCCGAACGUUUACGACAGACUUAACCUCUUAAUGCUUUGUACGAUAUGUACAUAUGUUACAUACUAAGUGUAUACAUUUUGAAGGAGAUUUAUAAUCAUGAAUAUCUUAAUCGAUCUAUGUUUAUUACAUUAUAUUCAAAUAAUAUUAUUCAUUGAUUCCAAAUGUUAUCACUAUAAUCAUAACAAUCGCGAUUCACUACAGUGUUAAUGAAAUUUCAAAAUAUUUUAUGCAACACAUACAAUAUAUAUGUGCAUAUACGCAAAAGUGUUUCUAUAGUAUGCAUUCAAAUGAGCCAGUGUAUGAUUCACUAUUAUUAUUAUAUUAUACAACUACAUAAUCUUUUGUUAAUAAUUCGAGCAUUAAAGUGUUAAACGUACAUAAAACGCAGCCAGAUAAAGUUACAACAUUGUAAGAUAUUGCAAGUCUUAUAAACUACCGUUAGUCACGAUACAUCAUAUAAAAUAAGGUUAUGUACGAACCAAUUUAGCGAAGAUCACUUCGUAAAUCCUUUUGUUCGAAUGAAACACACCCGUAAAAGCAUCCCAUUGCGAAAGGAUCGGUCGUUCACGGAAGAAAAUGUUAAUUAAAAUGCUUUACGUUCCGAUCGCGUUUAAUCGCCGUUAAGGUCAACGGUUUCCGAUCGUCGAUACACACUACUUCAGACGCGUGUACUUAUUUAUGUACUUGUAACAAAUAUAACGUAAUUCGAGCGCUUAAGAUAAGGACAGCGAAUCGAAUUAAAACGGGAAACGUAUCCGGUUCUACGGCUAACGGCUAAUUACUUGACAAUAAAUUCAAACUACGAUUGAACGUCGCGUCGAAUCGAAUGGUUGCAUGAAACGAGAGAUCGAUUGUAUGUGCAAAAGAUGCCAACGACCGGCGGCCGGCGACUCUUUCUAAGUGGCGACUCCUUUCAACCGUUUCUUUCUCAAAUUAUUAUCGACCAAGUAAUUCGCGUAAACAAUAUCGUAACGUCUUCUCCGAAUUUACUGCUAUCGUUGCGUCAAAGAAAUCAACACGGAUUGUUUUCAUCGUAAAUGCAAGUGUGAACUUUCUACGACUUUCCACGGCAUGUAUUCGCAAAGGAAAUUAAGGGAGCGGACAUCGACGUUAAAAAACAGAUAAGAAGAAGAAGAAAUCGUUUUCGCAUUCAAGCCAAUUGCGGUUUGUCGCAACAGAUUGCCUCUAUCGAGCUUUCGGAUGCCUAGAAGGAAUGAAACUACCGACUAAAAUGUGCCUACCAAAAAAUCCUGCUGCCAAAGAUCGUAGGACGAUUGUUGCCAAUAUCCGACUAAUGGACGUGCGAUUAAAAUCUGAGAAGAAAGAGGACAAGAAAGUUUAACCAGUCGUGCGUUCAACCGAAUUCCAAUUUCUGCGAAAAAGCUUCGCCAUUGCCGGCGAACGUAGCGGUUUAACGAUACAGGAUAUACUUUUUCUCGGAACGUUUCAGCGUAAUCGAAGAAACCGAUGCCAGAGGCGAUCAAUGCGAACUGCUCGCACCCGUACAUAUGCAUCCCACCUCCCCCGUGUAUAUCCGUAGAAUGGUGCCGCCAGGUUUCCGAGGUUUCCAUAACGAGAAUCUACCGGACCCUUCGGUGCCUUCAGACGAGGAUCACAAUUUUCCCCAUAACAUCACGUGCCGUUCAAGCCGUAUCCAUGGGACCGCGACGAGAUAAGAACCUGCAGCGAGCGAGCCUCGGCAUUCGACGUAUUGAAUGGGCCUGUCGAUCGCCAGCAGGGGGUCGGAGAAAAAUAUCCUCCUCGCUGGACCAACGAAAUUUAUCAGAUUAAAUUAGCGCGCGCAAAUGUCGCGUGCCAGCUCGUGUCACCUCCCCACCACUUUACUAAACGUAUCUGCGACAUGGGGUGCCAUUGUUCUAUCGAAAAUCGUCGUGUUUGGAUGUGUAACCUUGCUCGAUGCGCUUCGCUGUAUCUAUUACCGUGUGUCACGUACUUCCAUUGCUCUUUCAUUGUUGGCUGACGCGUGGAUAACAUCGAAAGAAUAACAAUACCGUAUGAUGUCGCGGCCGAUUGACAACCGAUACGACGUUCUGCUAUUUCUGUUUCAGAUUCCAUCGCUGACUGGAUACUCGAGCCUCAGCAUGUUCCAGGCGAAAAAUCGUCUACGAGAAAGAAAGAAGAGGAAGGGAGACACGAAGAAUCGAGGAGCAGCAGAAAAGAACGGAGCCCGCGUCGCCUGGACAAAGAAUAAGGGGAUUAGUUUUAAUUGGAACUAACGCGGCUAGAUUCUUGUAAAAAUCGUGGAUAAUAUUUGCAUUUAUCCACGGUAACGAUACCCGUUAGAAACUCGCUGCAAUUUCUACAAUGAUUUAAACAAUGGCAGUUACUUUUAAUUUCACGCGCA